rnacentral:rRNA from 1 species
UACGUAGGGGGCAAGCGUUGUCUGGAUUUAUUGGGCGUAAAGAGCGUGUAGGCGGCUUGGUAGGUCUCGCGUCAAAACCUGAGGCUCAACCUCAGUUCGCGUGGGAAACCACCUAGCUAGAGUCCGGAAGAGGAGAACGGAAUUCCCAGUGUAGCGGUGAAAUGCGCAGAUAUUGGGAAGAACACCAGUGGCGAAGGCGGUUCUCUGGGACGGUACUGACGCUGAGACGCGAAAGCGUGGGGAGCGAACAGG